rfam:Oryza glumipatula chromosome 10, whole genome shotgun sequence.
UUUAAGUGCAGCCAUAAAUUUUUGCGUCCAAUUUUUUAUCAUCGUCUUAUUUGAAGUUUUUUAUAAUUAGUAUUUUUAUUAUUAUGAGAUGACAAAAUAUGAAUAGUACUUUUACGUGACUUAUGUUUUUAAUUUUUUUAAAAAAAUAAAUAAGACGGACAGUCAAAAUUGUGCACGGAAAAUCAUGGCUGCACUUAAA